rnacentral:rRNA from 1 species
GACGAACGCUGGCGGCGUGCCUAAUACAUGCAAGUCGAACGCUGAAGGAGGAGCUUGCUUCUCUGGAUGAGUUGCGAACGGGUGAGUAACGCGUAGGUAACCUGCCUGGUAGCGGGGGAUAACUAUUGGAAACGAUAGCUAAUACCGCAUAAUAGUAGAUGUUGCAUGACAUUUGCUUAAAAGGUGCAAUUGCAUCACUACCAGAUGGACCUGCGUUGUAUUAGCUAGUUGGUGGGGUAACGGCUCACCAAGGCGACGAUACAUAGCCGACCUGAGAGGGUGAUCGGCCACACUGGGACUGAGACACGGCCCAGACUCCUACGGGAGGCAGCAGUAGGGAAUCUUCGGCAAUGGACGGAAGUCUGACCGAGCAACGCCGCGUGAGUGAAGAAGGUUGUCGGAUCGUAAAGCUCUGUUGUAAGAGAAGAACGAGUGUGAGAGUGGAAAGUUCACACUGUGACGGUAGCUUACCAGAAAGGGACGGCUAACUACGUG